GGCACAACGCAGAAAAACUUGGUGGAACAGAGAAUUCAGGCUUCCAUUUACAUCUCCAAGAUAAGACAGAUUCUGAUUCAAAAACCAACCUUCCAGAACAUUCUCUCUGUCUGCCAUGAGAAAGCUUCCUGGAUCGCUAGGACAAGUCAUGUAAGGAAACAACGGUUUUACAAACACGAGUGCGUCUGCUCUGCUGGAACAGUGACUCGAGCCACAUGCCCAUGUGCCCAUGUCCCUCUACCUGAUGCCUGUCUGCCUGUCUGGCUCCAGUUGCCCUGUGCUCAAGGGUGACUUUGUGUGACACCCCCCCCCCCAGCCUCGUCAUCAGCGGCCAUGAAGAUCUGUCUUUGUCACAUUCCCACAGCACUCUGGACUUGUACUGCCUCACGGCUCUGGUGCAAGCUCUUCAGCCCCUUCCUUCGCAUCUAGAUGAGGGGGCUAAGGAACUGUUAGUGUGCUGAGCCACACAGCCUCAGCCAAAGGCAUAGGUGGGACCUUGAAUUCAGGGCACUGUUCCUCCGGAGGCUGAUGCCUGUGGCUGAGAUAGCCCUGGAAAUGGGCUGGGAACAUAAAAGAUAAAAUUACACACGCUUCCUUCUUCCUCUUCUCUCAGUUCUUCAGCACCCAGGGAAGGCAACUGGUGCUGACAAGCUCUUGGGGCAAGGCUGCUUCCUGCUCCAGAUGACCAUGGGACCUCAUCCGUAACAUCAGACCUUACGAGUCGUCUUACCCCUUCCAGCCAGAAUCCUAGAAUUAAAACUCCAGUAACUUCUGUGAGAAUUUCUAUCCAGAACAAGCAAGAGGAGAGUAUGGGAAGGUGUGGCAUCCAGAUGAAACCAGAAAGCAGCUUUUCCUGGAGACGCCUGCCCAGGUGGAGGGUCAUUUCUUCUGUAUUUAGGAGGAGGUGGACCCCAGAGGCCAGGUCCUUGGGUCUGUGGUUCUUGGCUGUAAGUGACAUUCCCUUGAGUACCGUCACCAGUCAUAUAAGAAACAAGAACAACCUCUAUCAGAUUUGGCUGGAAGUGGACGUACACGCUGGAGAGGGAAGACGUUCAACGGCAUCCCCAGCUACGGAGCAAUCUGAGGCCAGCGUAGGCUACACGAGGCCCUUCAGAAAAACUCAGGUGGCCAGUAACGUUAACACCUCAUGUUCACACAGCACACGCAGACACAGCACAGCAGUCACAGCAGUCAGUGACCUCCCUCCUCUUGCCAGGUCUCCUGGCUCAUGGAUAUGACCCAAGUAGCCAGGGCACCGUGUUCCUGGUGUCUGUGCCUCUCAGGGCUGCUGCUGCAGCUUCUGUUGGCUUUGUGCUUCUUCUCCUGUGUCCAAGUACCCCGUGAUCAACCUGUUCCUCCAGCUCCUGGUAGCCACCCAGGACCAACCUCCACCCCAGCCACCUGUGUCCUCCAGCCUUUUCUCAUCUUACUGUGGACAUGGCCCCUUCCAGUGCUCAGUAGCUCUGUCCUCCUGCAGUCGUCCAGUCACUGCUGCAGUCUAUCAGCCCUGGAUGGUUAGUUCACCCUCACCAUGUCCUGUCGCAGCAACUCGGACAUCUUCACGCCCUGUGGCUGGCUGGAGCUGUGGCUGGAGCCUCUAGUCCAAACCCAGGCCAACAUCUCUGCCAAGACUGAGUCGUGUCCAACUGGGAUUCCAAGUCAGCUUAGGUGCCUUGGAGUCGCCUCCGCGUGGAUAUGUAUGGCCAAGGACAUGUGAGGCUCCCUGAAAGGAACAUGACGGAGACUCUGGCCAGAUACAAGUUUUAUCUGGCAUUUGAGAACUCCCUCCACCCCGAUUACAUCACAGGGAAGCUGUGGAAGGAUGCUCUGGAAACCUGGGCCAUGCCAGGGGUCCUGGGGCCCAGCAGGAAGAGCUACAAAUGCUUCCAGCCCCCUGAUGCCUUUAUCCAUGUGGAUAACUUCGAGAGCCCAGGGGAUCUGGCUAGUACCUGCAGGAGUCAAACAGGGACAGCCUGGGCUACCGGCGAUACUUUCGAUGGAGGGAGACACUCAGGCCUUGUUUCGGGAGCAUAGCCCUGGCAUUCUGCAAGGCAUGCAGAAAGCUGCAAUGGAACCAGAGGUACCAGACAGUCCCCAGUGUAGCCUCUUGGUUCCAGUGAGGUGGCUGACCACGGUCCUGCAGGCAGGAGUGGCUAACCCAGAAGACAUCAUCUGGAGGCCCUGAGUGACAGACAUCCUUAUCUGGGACCCCUCUGUGUGUAUCUCAGCUGCCCAGAGCCUUGGUUCUGGGAUCUUCACAUAGAACUUUGCCCACCAGGAACAUGGGGAGCCAGAAACCUGUGCGACAUCAAGGGAACCUGCUCCCAACACACACUGCUCCAGGACCACUGACUUCCCAGUACCACUCCCACUGGUUGGUGAUGGGUCUGCCUCAAUUGCUCGUGGUGUCUAUGACACAAUUAACUCCUGUGGGGAUGGUAGGACGAUCUGUUAUAGCUGUCCAGAUGGGACCUUAAUAUAUGAGUCUCACCAAG
rnacentral:lncRNA from 1 species